AGGGACGCCUCUGGGAGACCGCCGGGGCCCCUCUCCAGGGACGGACAGAUCCCUGGCUACCCUCCCCGUACAGUCCAAUGGGUACCCUCCAGUGGGUCGUGGCGUCCCACCGUGCCUCUAACUGGCCCCUCUGUGCGGCGCGACACCCUCCGGGCCAGGCUACCACAGAGAAGAGCGAAGGAGUAGGGCCUCCCGAGUCAGGGGGACAGAAAAGAAAGCGAAACUCGAACAUCCAGAACUUUCGCAUUCGCCGCUUCCGCGCACCAUUAGGUGGUGGCUUCGCGAUUCCCUGUCGCGCCGGGGUCCCAGCCGCCGCGCGCCCCAGACCUGGCCGCCGGCGCCCUGCGUUCCGGACGGCCGGCGACCCCUGGCGGAGGGAGGCAGGGAACUUCCCCGACGUUAGGCGACCGAUGGCGGGGGCCGGGGGUCCCCUGCGCCUCCGCGACUGGCUGGUGGCGCAGAUCGAGAGUGGGCGCUACGCGGGGUUGUGCUGGGAGGACGCAGACAAGACCCUCUUCCGUAUCCCCUGGAAGCACGCGGCCCGGCAGGGCUACCGGGCGCAGCAGGACGCGGAGCUCUUCAGGGCCUGGGCCAUACACAAGGGCAAACACCUAGAGGGCAUCGACAAGGAGGACCCCGCCACCUGGAAGACCCGACUCCGCUGUGCCCUCAACAAGAGUGCUGACUUCUGUGAGGUGCGUGAGUGCAGCCAGAGGGACAGUUCCAGCCCCUACAAGGUCUACAGGAUCAUGGCCCCCGGUGCCCAUGGCCCAGGUGCCAGAGCUUGUGCUCCCCCUGAAAAGAACAUUCCACGGAAGCAGCAGGAGCCCCCUGGAGAAGUGACAGAGCUGGCCUGCGGGACAGACCAGGAUGAUUCCAGAUCAACCACAGAGGAUAAGGACACCAAGCAAGCCCCCAGGCAGACCCAGCAGGGCUCCCUGCCACCAGCAGCUUGGCUCCCAGCCCCUCUGGCUGACCACAGGUACCAGGCACAGGACCCUACACACCACUGGAGCCCCUUGCUCUCUGAGGACUUCAGCAACCCUGAUUGCUGGCUGCACGUGCGGCUGUUCUAUGGCGGGAAGCUGGUGCGCGAAACCACCACGCGCGUGGCCGAGGGCUGCCGCCUGAGCCCUGGGGCGGUCACCGCGGCGGAGCACCUGCUGGGGCCGCCAAGACGCAUGGCGAACGUGCGUCUCCCGGAGCCGCCGCCCAGCGCCGGCGUCCUGGAGCGCUUGCUGCGGCACCUGGAGCGGGGCGUGCUGCUGUGGGUGGCCCCCGAGGGCGUGUUCGCCAAGCGCUUGUGCCGGGGCCGCGUGUACUGGCACGGCCCGCUCGCCCCGCACCGCGCGCAGCCCAACAAACUGGAGCGUGAGCGCACCUGCCAGCUGCUCGACACGCUACUCUUCCUCGAGGGACGGUCUCCAGGAGCCCGAGUACCAAAUCCGUCUGUGCUUUGGUGAGGAGUACCCAGGGCCGCCAGACCAACCGGAGGAGCGGCUCAUCAUGGCCCACGUGGAGCCAGUCUUCGCCAGGGAGCUCUUCCUGCACUGGAAGCGCCACUAUAGUGGUGUCCCAGCAUCAACAACGGUGUCCCUCACCUGCUGACACAGCUGAGUCAGCAGUAAAGGGUCACUUGCUCCUCUCCUAUCGUCCCAAGUCAGCACCCCUCCCGUGGGUGCGGACUCUACAGCAAACUUGCCCAAAUUGCCAGUGGUCUUGGGGCUGCCGCCUACCCAUCGGCCGGUCGGUGGGGACAGUGGAAGCCAAUCCACGCCCUUCAACCUCUCAGCGGCAGAGAUGCAGCCCCCGGAGCACAGCGCGUGGGCAGAGGCCUUGCAGCUGGACCUGGGAAGUCAGGAGGAAACCAAACUUGACCUUGAGGUUCUGGAAACAGCAAUUAGGGCAGAAACAAAACCUCAUAGCUCAGGGAGAACCCAGCAGGUCUGUGGUGGUAUACUUGAGAGCCCACUUCACCUGCAACUGAUGCAUUAUAAGGUUUGCUUAAAGCUGGGUUUACCGAUAAUUAGAUCCUCAGGGAUUAGAGUGAAGCCAGACAGUAACAGAAAUGCCUGGCUUCUGAGGGGCUCUGAGUUUCCAGACCCUUCCUCCCACCUGCCACUAGUCUCUGUUCUUAUGUGGGCAGGGAGGGAUCUCAAAGCAGAAAUUUGGCCUGAACUGGGGACUUGGGGGGUUGAUAACUGAACCACCAAUACCAGUGGAUACUGUGUUUGGAGGAACCAAGGCUGACCCCCUAACACAGCCAUAGGGCAGAAGCUAAGAGCAGAAGCAGGGGUCCAGCCCCUCCCCAGGCUCCACUGAUCAUUGUAAACUGCAAGCUGUAGGGAGUCCUUGAGAAUUGGGAGGGAGCCCCUUCAACUAUGAAGCCAGCUGACCCUGCCUUGGCAGAAAAGUCACUGUGUCCUGCCCCAGAUAUCAGACCUUGUUUCCGGUUCUGAUUUCUGACUUUUUAAAUAGGGAUUCUCCUACAGAUGGCAACAUAAUGAAUCUCUUCUAGUGAUACAUGAAUAUGCUUUUAUGGUGGGGAGGGACUGUAUGCUUCGACGAAGGUCAAUCAGAUCACUGUUUCUUAUUCAGCAAAUGUUGACUGAGCACCUACUCAGUUUCCAGGCCAGUGCUGGACAAAACAGCAGGCCCCUGCUCUCUUGGGGUUCAUAGCCUGUGUUCCAGUGGGCUCCAGUGACUGUCCCUAUCCCUGCUUCUCUUCUGUAGAAGGUGUGGUGUUAAGGAGUUAGAGAAUACUGGAUUCAAAUCCCAGCUUUGUCAUUCACUAGCUGUGUGACCUCUGGCAAGUCACUAACCUUUCUGAGGCAUAGAUUCUCCAUCUAUUCAAAAGAAGCCAUGAAGGGACACCUGGGUGGCUCAGUGGGUUAAAGCCUCUCCUUUCCGCUCAGGUCAUGGUCCCAGGGUCGUGGGAUGGAGCCCCACAUCGGGCUCUCUG